rnacentral:rRNA from 1 species
CGGAGAAAUGCAUCAGAAACUGUUCGGCUAGAGAGUAGUUGCGGUAGGCGGAAUGUAUGGUGUAGCGGUGAAAUGCUUAGAGAUCAUACAGAACACCGAUUGCGAAGGCAGCUUACCAAGCUACUUCUGACGUUGAGGCACGAAAGCGUGGGGAGCAAA